CCUACGGGCGGCAGCAGUAAGGAAUAUUGGGCAAUGGUCGGAAGACUGACCCAGCCAUGCCGCGUGCAGGAAGACGGCCCUAUGGGUUGUAAACUGCUUUUGGCCGGGGAUAAACCUCUCGACGUGUCGGGAGUUGAAGGUACCGGUCGAAUAAGCAUCGGCUAACUCCGUGCCAGCAGCCGCGGUAAUACGGAGGAUGCAAGCGUUAUCCGGAUUCACUGGGUUUAAAGGGUGCGCAGGCGGGCGAAUAAGUCAGGGGUGAAAUCCUACAGCUUAACUGUAGAACUGCCUUUGAUACUGUUUGUCUGGAGUGAAGUUGGAGUGGGCGGAAUGUGUUAUGUAGCGGUGAAAUGCUUAGAUAUAACACAGAACACCGAUCGCGAAGGCAGCUCACUAAACUUUAACUGACGCUCAUGCACGAAAGCGUGGGGAUCAAACAGGAUUAGAUACCCCUGUAGUCU
rnacentral:rRNA from 1 species